UACGGGGGGGAGCAAGCGUUGUUCGGAAUUACUGGGCGUAAAGCGUGCGCAGGCGGUUUUGUAAGUCAGAUGUGAAAUCCCCGGACUUAACCUGGGAACUGCGUUUGAAACUACAAGGCUAGAGUGUGGCAGAGGGGGGUGGAAUUCCACGUGUAGCAGUGAAAUGCGUAGAGAUGUGGAGGAACACCGAUGGCGAAGGCAGCCCCCUGGGUUAACACUGACGCUCAGGCACGAAAGCGUGGGGAGCAAACAGG
rnacentral:rRNA from 1 species